AGAGUUUGUUCCUGGCUCAGAACGAACGCUGGCGGCGCGUUUUAAGCAUGCAAGUCGAGCGGGAAUCCGGGGCAACCUGGAGGAGAGCGGCGGACGGGUGAGUAACACGUGGAUAAUCUGUCCUUUAGUUUGGGAUAGCCUGAUGAAAGUCAGGAUAAUACCGGAUAAGACAGCCGGGUCACAAGACCUGGUUGGGAAAGGUGCUAAGGCAUCGCUGAAGGGUGAGUCUGCGUCCCAUUAGCUAGAUGGUAGGGUAAAGGCCUACCAUGGCGAUGAUGGGUAGCCGGCCUAAGAGGGUGAACGGCCACAUUGGGACUGAGAUACGGCCCAGACUCCUACGGGAGGCAGCAGCUAAGAAUCUUCCGCAAUGGUGGGAACACUGACGGAGCGACGCCGCGUGAAUGAUGAAGGCCGUGAGGUUGUAAAGUUCUUUUCUGGAGGGAGAAUAAGGAUUGUAGGGAAUGACAGUCUGAUGACGUGAAUCCAGGAAUAAGCCCCGGCUAACUACGUGCCAGCAGCCGCGGUAACACGUAGGGGGCGAGCGUUGUUCGGAAUUAUUGGGCGUAAAGGGUGCGCAGGCGGCUUUGUAAGUCUGCUGUUAAAUGGUUGAGCUCAACUCAAUCAUGCGGUGGAAACUGUGAAGCUAGAGUUAACGAGGGGAUGUCGGAAUUCCAGGUGUAGGGGUGAAAUCUGUAGAUAUAUGGAAGAACACCAGUGGCGAAGGCGGUUUACUAGCCCGAUACUGACGCUCAGUCACGAAAGCGUGGGGAGCAAAUAGGAUUAGAUACCCUAGUAGUCCACGCCGUAAACGAUGACUACUAAAUAUUGCAGUGAUGCAGUGUUGAAGCUAACGCAUUAAGUAGUCCGCCUGGGGAGUACGGUCGCAAGACUGAAAUUUAAAGGAAUUGACGGGGACCCGCACAAGCAGUGGAGCAUGUGGUUUAAUUCGAUGCUACGCGAAGAACCUUACCAGGACUUGACAUGGAUUCAAAUGUUCUAGAGAUAGAAAGAUAGUUAUGGAUCACACAGGUGGUGCAUGGUUGUCGUCAGCUCGUGUCGUGAGAUGUUGGGUUAAGUCCCGCAACGAGCGCAACCCUUGUCCUUAGUUACCAUCAUUUAGUUGGGGACUCUAAGGAGACUGCCGAUGUAAAUCGGAGGAAGGUGGGGAUGACGUCAAAUCAUCAUGCCCUUUAUGUCCUGGGCGACACACGUGCUACAAUGGCCGGUACAAAGAGAAGCGAAACCGCGAGGUCAAGCAAAUCCCAUAAAGCCGGUCUCAGUUCAGAUUGGAGUCUGCAACUCGACUCCAUGAAGUCGGAAUUGCUAGUAAUCGCAGAUCAGCCAUGCUGCGGUGAAUACGUUCCCGGGUCUUGCACUCACCGCCCGUCA
rnacentral:rRNA from 1 species